rnacentral:rRNA from 1 species
GCACAAGCGGUGGAGCAUGUGGUUUAAUUCGACGCAACGCGAAGAACCUUACCAGGGCUUGACAUCCCCUGACCGCGUAUGAAAGUACGUUUUCACCCUCGGGUGACAGGGAGACAGGUGGUGCAUGGUUGUCGUCAGCUCGUGUCGUGAGAUGUUGGGUUAAGUCCCGCAACGAGCGCAACCCCUACGUUUAGUUGCUAACGCGUGAAGGCGAGCACUCUAGACGAACUGCCGUUGACAAAACGGAGGAAGGUGGGAUGACGUCAAAUCAUCAUGCCCCUUAUGUUCUGGGCUACACACGUGCUACAAUGGCCGGUACAGACGGACGCAAAGCCGCGAGGUGGAGCAAAUCCUAAAAAGCCGGUCUCAGUUCGGAUUGCAGGCUGCAAUUCGCCUGCAUGAAGUCGGAAUCGCUAGUAAUCGCGGAUCAGCACGCCGCGGUGAAUACGUUCCCGGGCCUU